GAUGUGAAGUUCGAAGAAGUUUUAUGACAAAGGAGAAGAGGGAGGUUUUUCAGUCACUGGGGAAGAUGACGAGGCUGGAAAGAGAACACAGUGAGCAGUCAGCAUAUGGGAGUGCUUCAGCUGUGGUUCCACAACUGUUGCGAGCUGAUAUUGGUGUGGGAAAGUUUUCAGCCUGGAGAAGAGAAGGCUCCGAGACCUUCGGAGACCUUAUAACGGCCUUCCAGGACCUGAAGGGGGCCUACAGGAAAGCUGGGGAGGAACUUUUUACAAGGGCACGCAGGAAGUGGACAAGGGGAAACGGUUUUAAACUGGAAGAGGGUAGAUUUAGACUGGAUAUCAGGGAGAAAUUCUUUACUGUGAGGGUGGUGAGACAAUGGAACAGGUUGCCCAGUGAGGUUGUGGAUGCUCCCUUCCCUGGAGAUGCUCAAGGCCAGGCUGGAUGGGGCUUUGAGCAACCUGGCCUAGAGGGAGGUGUCCCUGCCUGUAGCAGGAGAGUUGGAACUAGAUGAUCCUAAAGGUCCCUUCUAACCCAAACCAUUCUAUGAUUCUAUGAUUUGAAGAGGUUGCACAUAGGCUGUGAAUGUAGUCCAAAGGGUCUGUGGACUAUAAAUUUCAUGAGAUCCCAACCUCUAGAAAUCAGAGCUUUCAAAAUGGUCUUUGGUGGGUGGGCAGGUAAGGUAGCUGCAACCUUCACUGCUUUUUGGUCUACCAGGAUCCUCUGCAGAGCAAAAGGCCUGCCAAAAGUCAGCAAAACAAAGCUGACAUUUUCUGGUGUGUGCGAGGGUCCUUUAGCUUUCUUGGAAUUCCUUUACUUUUUGUUUCAUAUUUCUUAGUUUUCUUACAUUGUGUACACUGAGCAAAUAUUGCGUAUUGUUUUAGAGAAACAGCCACAGGGGUAAAGAAAAUAUCUGCUUAUCAUAAGUGAAAGAUCAGUGUCACACUAGGGGAAAGUUUUUUAUAUUUUCUCUGUGAUAAAAUUACUGUAAAAUGAUGGAAUUUGUUUACACAGAGCUCAGUGGCAACAUUUCUAUUGACUACAUUAUGAACCUGACACUGUCUUGCAGAUGCCAUCUGCUUGGAAUCCUUUGCUUGCCAUUGACAUGGGACACUUCAUUGCCAGGGGACAAAGUCACUUCACCUGUUCUGCCAGUUCUUCCUCUGAACUAGCCCUGUAAACACUAAUAAUCUUGACACAGCCUGGAGCAACAAGAGGAGUGUAAUCACAAAAGGUCACAUACUACAAUCUGAGCAUGAAGUUUUAUAGUUCUGAAAUGAAGCCUCAGCUUUUUUUUGCGUGACAGGCUUUGUAAUAAAUUUCUCUGGGGAUUAAACAGAAAGGAUACAUUUUUUCCAGUAUAUUAUUUUUAAAAAGUAACAUUAACCUUCAACUGGACAGAAAAGGCCAUGGGAGAACAUUUGAUCAGCAUCAGAGAAUAUACAUGUUUUUUUUUCCCUGGGAAUAAAUUGAAAAGUCCUUUGGAGCCGCCUAUGUGGGCUGCCCAGCUGCCAGCAUUCUUAGCUUGCUGAGUGUAUCAGGUGAAAGGUAACAAACAAAUCCGGACAGGCAAACAUCUGUCCUGACAUCCCUUUCUCUGAAGCUUGGUAGCAACACUGUGUUACACCUCAGGAAGAGGUGCCCUGGGGCCAGAGACCGCCGGCAUCAAGGCCCAGUCAUCACCAAGCGCAUCCACAAAGUAGCUUCUUUCACAGUGUUUUCUUAGACGUGGAAGAUCUGCAGAUAGGUGCUUGACCCAUGUUUCUGGGGAGAGCUGUUACACAGGUGAUAUUACUAUGCCCACACAGCAGUGAAGCAUAUGAGGAUGUCCACUGAACCUGGUUCUGCUACAGUAAGGGUUUGGGGCUUUUUUAGGGUAUAUUGUCUAAAACCUUCAGCUUCAAUGUACAUUUCUCAGCAUACGCUGAACUGGCAGAUGUAGAUACCCUUUCUUAGGCAGAAUUUUAUGCAACAUGGCAGGAAUACGUUACAUGUUUCCUGGAAACACAUGAAAUCUUUCCAAGAGUCUGUGCAAGAAAGCACCAGGCAAAAAACUCUGACAUAAGACAACAUGCUCAGGCAUAGGAAACAGUUGGUUUUACGUAAAUAAACUAACCUUAUCCUAUU
rnacentral:lncRNA from 7 species